GACGACGAGAGGAGACGAGAGCUUGGAGCACUCCGGAGAGCCAGUGUGCUUUGAGCAACUGUGAGCUCUGAUCGGUGCGCACCUUACUCCCGUUGGAUCCUCGGCGUCCACAGUUUCUAAACAAUCUCUGUUUCCAGUUGCAUGCGAUCUAAACUGUCUACUUCCAGACCUUCCCUGCGGUCAUCCAACGCGUUUAUCGCAUUUUCACUCUUUACAAUCACAGAUCGCCUAGAGUCCUCACAACCGAAUCAGGAGUCAACUGAGCACCUGUUCAUAAAACCUUUAAGGAAGUUGAUCAUGUCAUCUUUUUCGAACUUAUUGAAUUAUAUAAAGUUGAGUGUAAACAAAAAAAUUGGUCAAACUAUCAGCGAUUUUAAAAAUUUCGUUGCUAAGAAUAAUCAAUAACAAUCGGCACUAAUUGUCUCACUUCCUUCGGAUCACCAGUCGUAAUACUCGUUCCGAUGCUCUCAACCCCACAGUGUUUAUAUUAAAACUAAUUUUUUUCUUUUCCUUUUACCUGCGUUACAGUCGAUAUGUUCAGAUAUUUGGUUCACAAACUUUAUUCCUAGUCGUUAUGCUGAAAGGAAUACAUCGUUUUUUAAGGAGAUGAAAAUCUUUUUAGUGAAAAUGUAGGUGUAAUCUAACUCCGAAAUUCGUCAUUCCAUCUGAUCGUCUGAUUUUGUAAAGAACGAUAUGAACUACAUUGGUCCAUCGUCGAGAACUAUUAAUUUUGAUAUCGUCGAGAACGAAAUUUAGCUAGUUGGAACUGACCCAAAUUAAUUCUUUCCAUCAAGAAUAAAAUGUGUUUGAUAGGCUAAAAAAAUAUCUUCAAUAGUUCCAGAAAUUAUGAAUAUAUACCAAUGAUAUUUCCAUGCUUCACGAGCGCGGAAAAGUUUCUCGAGACAAAUAGAGCCAGCAAUGAUGCUUUGACUCAGGGAUGCUGCGAUCAGGUGCCUGAAAAUCUUUCUAAAAACAGUGCACACAUAAUUCUCUAUCAAAGUCCUCCUCGUGAAAACGUCGAAAAUGAGACUCGGAUAGAAAGAAAUCGUCUUCGUGUAGACAUUCGCAAUGGGCCACACUAUCAAAAGGAAAAGGAAAAAAGUUUGAGAAAAUCUCUUUCACUAACAAAACUGUCCUGUACUGGAUGUUAUUCCAUUUUCACGUGUGCAAUAUCGAUCGAAUGCACUAACAAAAGGAAACCUAGGCCCAUAAACCGUUUAAAGGGGUGAAAACAACCCCCGAAGGUGGACAUCUUCACGGGGUGGUUUCUCAGUUUCGCUUGGAAGCACUUGAUGUUUUCGAAUGAAAUGAACGUUAAAAUAUUUUUAUUGAUGAAUCAUCGAAAGCGCACUCCAGACUUUCUAGGAAAAAGAAUAUUUGAGGGGCGAACAACCCCUAAUUCGAAAAUUUCAUUUUGAGUCGUAAAAAAUUAUUCUUCUCAUUCGCACGAAACCAACCGCUUUUUGUAGAGGUCAAAGAAUUAGCCAAUGCGUACUUCGGGGUUUUUCCGAAAAAUUCGAUUUUAAGGAGGCGAAUUACUCCUUUUGUCAUAAUACCUUAGAUAAUUAGCUAAUAAACUUUUGUUUUCUUGAUUA